AUCUGUGGCGGAUUACCUAAUUGACGGCAGCAUAAGAGGGGUGGAACGCCGGUACUUCGACGCCAGAGUGUCAACCGUUGAUGGAUCCGCCCUGAUCUGGUUGCCUGCUGUACCAGUUACCCAGCCACGACGCCUUGGGUAGCCUCCCCCAUAUGCCUGACAAACAAGACUCAUCAGUUUCCAUAACUCCAUUACCUCUCAGAAGUUUCCGACCGGCCGUUCCCCCCUACUACCCGCCGCCUUCAGAGACAAACCCUCCUGUCCGCCCUCCAACGCCACUUUCCAACCCACCACGCCUCACGCAGAGACCCCUGAACCUACCACUCCCCCUCCAAGCCGUUUGAACGCACAGAGCCAUACCCCGAGAGCAGCCGAGCAGUUCCCGGACCAGCUUCACUUUCUGUUUGCAUCUGUAAAAUAAACC